UGAAGCACAAGCAGCACACAUUUAGUAGUGAUGCAAUCGAAAUGUGGGGACCACAAGGUUGAAUCAGCUGUUUUCAAGGGGCAACAUGUGCCGCACACAUGUGGCCGAACACAGUGGAACAAUGCCAACACACAAGUUCUGUUGGUGGAACUCCUGGUAAGGAAAUCAAUCAAUACAUUAGCCGGUCAAUGGCCCAGAAAGCGAAUGUGAACCCCGUGAACCCCAUAGACAAAGUCAGACAUCUCUGCUCCCCUCCAGCUCCACAUUGGCCAGUGAUAAAGACGAAAAUUCGACGGUAAAUCUUGAUUAUCCCCGGGCACAGAGCCCCAGCCCUAGAAAGCCCAGCGCAUUACGUAAGUCUGAAUACCAAAAAAAUACAAAAACAUACUUCAUUUUGUCACGUUCCUGCCAAGCCAAGCCAAGCCAAGCCCGUGGCCCAAAGAAUUUUAGCAUUUGGCUGGGCUAGCCUCCCAUUAACCCCUUGAAUUUGCAUAACCCACCAUAUCGCAUAUCAUGCGGCGUAUUGAAAGCUUGUGCCCCAUUAUAAGUGUAUGAGGCCAUCCAAGGACUGGCUCCUGGCUCCUCGCUCCUGGCUCCUGAUGGGAUGUGUGAUGUGCGUGUUCUCAGCUGAUUUGCAUAGAAAUGGGCCGGCAAAAAUGUCGAUAGGGUCCCGACAGGGAUCUGAGGACUCUAUUCACGAAAAGGAGACUCGCCUGCAACGAGCCUGUGAGUGGAGGAAAAAGAAAUGCAAUUGGAUAAGGCCUAAGCAAGUGCAAUGGAGAGCAAGUAUACCCUGCUCCAGAUGGGACUAAAAUUGCCAUAAAGUACAUUAACUUCAAUCGAAAUCUGUUACAAAUGGAACUUGUAGAUUGUUGUUGUUUUGAUGCCAUGGAAAACCCAUUCGGUACCGGGCAGGCCAAGACUCUUAUCGUGAUGAUCCACCGCUGAAGAGGCAUCGAGUGUGCAACAGCAACGGCUGCCCACUGCAGGUGGAGAUGUUUAUGCAAAUGGGGAUCGGAAAGGCAGGCCCAGGCCCAGUGGCUUAGAACGGACGGAAAACUUUCACCUGCCCACAGAUACGGCCGUAGGGCCCUAGGGAAGAUGGGCCUGUGGGCUAUCCGAAGAUUAAUUGCAGGGGGAGAAGAGAAGA
rnacentral:sRNA from 1 species